rnacentral:pre_miRNA from 1 species
GGCUUUUUGAAUCCAUGCUGAGAUUUCGUCAGACACCAAUCCAUUAGGGAUGAUCAGACUUCCUAGAUAAGUGAAGUU